rnacentral:rRNA from 1 species
AUUGAACGCUGGCGGCAGGCCUAACACAUGCAAGUCGAACGAGUGGCGGACGGGUGAGUAAUGUCGGGGAAACUGCCUGGGGGAGGGGGAAAAAUACUGGAAACGGUCGCUAAUACCGCAUACCAUGGGAUGCCCCAAGAUGGGAUUAGCUAGUAGGUGGGGUAAAGGCACACCUAGGCGACGAUCCCUAGCUGGUCUGAGAGGAUGACCAGCCACACUGGAACUGAGACACGGUCCAGACUCCUACGGGAGGCAGCAGUGGGGAAUAUUGCACAAUGGGCGCAAGCCUGAUGCAGCCAUGCCGCGUGUAUGAAGAAGGCCUUCGGGUUGUAAAGUACUUUCAGCGGGGAGGCGUUACCCGCAGAAGAAGCACCGGCUAACUCCGUGCCAGCAGCCGCGGUAAUAC